rnacentral:lncRNA from 1 species
AGCUUAUGCCAAUUUAAAAUAAUCCUGACUCUGGGGCAUUAUUCUGUUUUUCUUUUCAGAAAUGCUGUUCAACAAGCCAGGUUACCACCACGGAGGUCUGACUUCCUUCUGGAGUCUCUAGAAAGCAAGGAACUGCUGGGCCCUCCUUUUGCUAGGUCAGAGGUGCCCUUUCAGCAAACAUCUGUGAAAAAUUGUUCUGCACAGACUGGGAACUUACUGCAGACACCUCACCUGGAGGAAAGCACCUGUAAAUGUCUGUCUCAGACAGGCAGUGCUGCUCAUUCCCAUCCCGUUCCCUCUCUCCCACGUGCUGCUCUCCCCUCUCCCCCACUGUGGACAGCAGAUGUGCCCCGUGCUGGGCAGGGCCCACAGCUCUGGUCUCCUGCCUCUUUCAUGCCCCAAAUGAAAGCUGGGUCAGAGAAGAGAGGAGAUCAGCCUGGGAGUGGUCACAAAGGAGCCCAUUCCCAAGAGUCCCAACAGAACUCAGUGGGGAAGUUGCGACCAAAUUUGCAGCCACAUCUGCUGUCACCUGAAGAGUUGGUGGCACAGUGGAGUCACCAAACUGCAGCUGAAGGGGAAGAGAGGGAGCAGCACAGUUCCAGAGAAGAAAUGGUGUUGCAGAGAAAGGUGGAGGUUGAACUCCAACACAUCCAGCAGCAGAUGCAGUACUACUACAGCAGGAAGCUGGAGCUCAAGUCCUGUCAGCAGCAGGCACAGAUUCUGCAGCAGUGGCUGGAACUGAGCUCAGGACCAGGAGCCCGAGCUGGUGUGCAAGGAGUUCAGGAAGAGCUGGGUCAGCUGCAGGGGAGGAUCAACACCCUGAGCGCAGCCCAGCUGACGGACAGACAGCGUGUGCAGAGCCUGCUCGCCCGCCUGCGGGAGAUCCAGCUUGCCCUGGAUCUAUAAUGCCUCUGAUCCAACUUUCCAGCUCAGGG